UGAGUAACACGUGAGCAACCUGCCCGACAAACCGGGAUAACAGCGGGAAACUGCUGCUAAUACCGGAUACACCAGGUAUGGCGCAUGCUGUAUCUGGGAAAGGGUUUACCGAUGUCGGAUGGGCUCGCGUCCCAUUAGCUAGUUGGUGAGGUAACGGCUCACCAAGGCGACGAUGGGUAGCUGGUCUGAGAGGACGAUCAGCCACACUGGAACUGAGACACGGUCCAGACUCCUACGGGAGGCAGCAGUGGGGAAUCUUGCACAAUGGGCGAAAGCCUGAUGCAGCGACGCCGCGUGGAGGAUGAAGGCCUUCGGGUCGUAAACUCCUGUCUGGGGGGAUGAACACUGACAGUACCCCCGGAGGAAGCCCCGGCUAACUACGUGCCAGCAGCCGCGGUAAUACGUAGGGGGCGAGCGUUGUCCGGAAUUACUGGGCGUAAAGCGCGCGCAGGCGGCCCAUUAAGUCAGGUGUUAA
rnacentral:rRNA from 1 species